CCCUAAUCUCUCUCACUCGCUCAGUUCGUAGCCCUAAUCUCUUACUCACAGUCUCUCGUUCGCUCUCUCAUUUUCUCUAAACCCUCUCAAUGGAUCGAUUCAUCUCUCACUGAUUCAGCUCAGAAUGAUACAAUCUCGCUGAUUAAUCUUGGCAGUUUCGAUUUUGAUUUUGAUUUCGAAGUUCUCUCUCGAUUUCGAUUUCAAGAUUUCUGUCUCGAUUCAUCUUUGAGAUUCAGAGCGAAUUCGAUUUCGAAGCUCCAUUCCACCACCGUCUGCCCCGGCUCGAUUCUUCAGAUUUUGAUUUCGAAGGUCCACUCCCACCACCAUCUGCACCAGCGAGAAUGGAGUUGAUCCUAUGGAUAGAAACAUGGAAAAGCCAAAAACUUUGGAUGAUGUAACUGAUAAAACCAAACCCUGGCAGUUGGCCGAAAUUAUAGAUCCUGCUCAAUGCCGGCAGGUUACCAUGCCAGACAACAUGGAUGCAGUCAACAAGGUUGCUUGACUACUCUAUACAAAUUCCGGUUUUGGUGUUUUGGCACUUGGGUCUAAUGGGAUUCAGAAGUUAUGGAAGUGGACACGCAGUGAACAAAAUCCAGGUGGAAAGGCCACUGCCAAUGUUGUUCCACAGCAAUGGCAACCAAACAGUGGUCUUGUUAUGACUAAUGAUGUCACAGGUGUCAACCUUGAGGAAGCAGUGCCUUGCAUAGCACUCUCAAAGAAUGACUCUUAUGUAAUGUCAGCCUGUGGCGGCAACGAACAAUCUGGUUUGGGUUUCUUUUUAGGCUUGAUUGGUUCAAGGACAAAGUUGAAACAGUAUAAAUGCUGAAUUUGUUUCAACACCAUGUCAAAUCUGUGCACAUGUUUAGCAAAUAUCCUUCUGUGUUAUCCUUUUAAUCACAUUGCAGUUUGGUACUGUUAUGCCAUAUUAGAAAGAAAUUUGUUUCAACACAGUGUUCACUUUAGUUUGUUUUUUUUAUGCAUAUGUCAUUGUCGAUGGAUUGGUUGGUUUGUAGCUUGGUCAUCAAGAUGAGAACAGUGAGAUAUAUAAAAGCAUAAUGCUAAACUGUGUCAAGUAUUUAAAUAAAUCUUUUUCUAUUGAUCCUCAUUAUUUUUAUUACUAUUAUUAUUGUUGUUAUUAUUAAUUUUACUACCAUGGUGCGCUACAUUUGUAUCUUUGAAAUUAUCUAUUGAUAGAAGAAUUAGAGAUUUUGUUCUUGGCUUCUCAAAAUUAACUAUUGAUUGUAACUAUGAAUCUUUUAAUUUUCUAUUGUCAAAUUUUAUAAAUUUGACCUUUAAUAGAAUUGUUCCCUUAGAAGAUGAAUUUAAGAUCCUACAUAUUGUUAUAAAUUAAUUUCUCUCUCUCUCUCUCACGUGUGUGCGCAUGCCGUGGUGU